UGAAAGCUCAGUUGGUUCGAGUGUGGUGCUGAUGAUGCCAAGGUUGCAGGUUCGACAGAUACAUAUUCCUGCAUUGCAGAG